UACGGGGGGUGCGAGCGUUGUCCGGAAUCACUGGGCGUAAAGGGCGCGUAGGUGGUUUGAUAAGGGUGUGGUGAAAGCCCGGGGCUCAACCCCGGGUCUGCCGUGCCGACUGUCAAACUCGAGGGCUGUAGAGGCAGACGGAAUUCCGGGUGUAGCGGUGGAAUGCGUAGAGAUCCGGAGGAGACCGGUGGCGAAGGCGGUCUGCUGGGCAGUUUCUGACACUGAUGCGCGACAGCGUGGGGAGCAAACAGG
rnacentral:rRNA from 1 species